GCAUAAAUGCUAUGAUGUGAUGCUAUGUAUGUGAUGAGGGUUCAUGUGUUUCCACAUGAACCAUAUGAUGCUAAUGAUUGUUUAUGUUAUGUGCUGUUUUUCAGAAGAUAGAAUGAGAGGAACUCGUCGAUCUGCACGAUUGACUGGAGUGCCACCUCAGGACGAGGGCGCUGAUGCCCGUCCUUCAGCUUUGCCUAGAGCAAUGUCCAGUAGGCCCAAUAGAGACAGAGUGGCUAGAGACCCAAGAAGGUCUUUGGAUCUGGGUAGAAGCAGAUCAGUAAGGGGAACAGUGCAGGGAGGAAUGUCUGAGGAUAUGGAGGUAGAUCAGAGAAGGGAUGGCAAUCUUGGUGUGAGUAUGCCGG
rnacentral:lncRNA from 1 species